rnacentral:rRNA from 1 species
UACGAGGGGGGCGAGCGUUGUUCGGAAUUAUUGGGCGUAAAGGGUGCGUAGGCGGUUUUGUAAGUCUGAUGUGAAAUCUAUGGGCUCAACUCAUAGUCUGCAUCUGAAACUGCCGGGCUUGAGUAUGGGAGAGGUGAGUGGAAUUCCUGGUGUAGCGGUGAAAUGCGUAGAUAUCAGGAGGAACACCUGUGGCGAAAGCGGCUCACUGGACCAUAACUGACGCUGAUGCACGAAAGCUAGGGGAGCAAACAGG